GACGAACGCUGGCGGCGUGCCUAAUACAUGCAAGUCGAACGCUUCUUUCCUCCCGAGUGCUUGCACUCAAUUGGAAAGAGGAGUGGCGGACGGGUGAGUAACACGUGGGUAACCUACCCAUUAGAGGGGGAUAACACUUGGAAACAGGUGCUAAUACCGCACAACAGUUUAUGCCGCAUGGCAUAAGAGUGAAAGUCGCUUUCGGGUGGCUCUGCUGGUUGGACCCGCGGAGCAUUAGCUAGUCGGUGAGGUAACGGCCCACCAAGGGCACGAUGCAUAACCCGCCGUAGAGGGUGAUCGGCCACACUGGAACUGAGACACGGCCCAGACUCCUACGGGAGGCAGCAGUGGGGAAUUUUGGGCAAUGGACGAAAGUCUGAUCGAGCAACGCCGCGUGAGUGAAGAAGGUCUUCGGAUCUUAAAACACUGUUGUUAGGGAAGAACAAGAACGAUAGUAACUGAACGUCCCUUGACGGUAGCUAAACAGAAAGCCCCGGCUAACUACGUG
rnacentral:rRNA from 1 species